UUAGUUGUGAUUGUUUGGAUGGUGAGUUGUUAGGCCAUGUUUUUCCAUACAAGGUUAAAUCUGGAGAUACUUAUGGUCAGGUUGCGACGAAUUAUUCCGAUUUGACAACUUCGGAGUGGUUGAUGAAGUUUAAUAGCUAUCCCGAGAAUAAUAUUCCGGAUACGAAUGUUACCUUAAACGUGGUUGUGAAUUGUUCUUGUGGGGAUAGAAAUGUUUCCAAAGAUAAUGUUACUUUAAACGUGGCUGUGAAUUGUUCUUGUGGGGAUAGACAUGUUUCCAAAGAUUAUGGGCUGUUUGUGACGUACCCUGUACGGGCAGAGGAUAACUUGACGUCCAUUGCUUUUGAGGCUAAUGUGAGUGCUGAUUUAAUCCGGAGGUAUAAUCCAGGGGUGGAUUCCAAAUUCGAUACCGGAAGAGGGAUCCUGUUUAUACCGGGAAGAGGUUAGUGUUGAUAUUAUUUUUAGAAGAAUUAACCUAAAUAGCCGGCAGAUGUGUAAUAGUAUAUGUAUUAUAUGUGUAUAAACCUGUAUGAUCAGUGUGUAUGUAUACUGGGUAGAGAAAUCAAACACUAGUCCGGCCGGCUCUUUGGGUAAAGAUCCCUUUUUUACUCCCUCUGUCCUAUUUUAUGUGAAGUGUUGACUUGGCAUAGGCAUUGUGAUCUAAAACAAGCCAUAGACUUUCUCAUUAAGCAUAAAAUGAGAAGCUUAAGAGUGAGUUGUUUCUGAAUAUAGAAAUGAGUCAUUCUUUUUGCUUAAG
rnacentral:lncRNA from 1 species